rnacentral:rRNA from 1 species
CGGGGUGCAGCAGGCGCGAAAACUUUACAAUGCUGGAAACAGCGAUAAGGGGACCUCGAGUGCCAGGUUACAAAUCUGGCUGUCGUGAUGCCUAAAAAGCAUUGCAUAGCAAGGGCCGGGCAAGACCGGUGCCAGCCGCCGCGGUAACACCGGCGGCUCGAGUGGUAACCGUUAUUAUUGGGUCUAAAGGGUCUGUAGCCGGCCGGAUAAGUCUCUUGGGAAAUCCAGCAGCUCAACUGUUGGGCUUUCAGGAGAUACUGUCUGGCUCGAGGCCGGGAGAGGUGAGAGGUACUUCAGGGGUAGGGGUGAAAUCUUGUAAUCCUUGAAGGACCACCAGUGGCGAAGGCGUCUCACCAGAACGGACCUGACGGCAAGGGACGAAAGCUAGGGGCACGAACCGGAUUAGAUACCCGGGUAGUCCUAGCCGUAAACGAUACUCGCUAGGUGUCGGCCACGGUGUGACCGUUGUCGGUGCCGUAGGGAAGCCGUGAAGCGAGCCACCUGGGAAGUACGGCCGCAAGGCUGAAACUUAAAGGAAUUGG